CCUACGGGAGGCAGCAGUGGGGAAUAUUGCACAAUGGGCGAAAGCCUGAUGCAGCGACGCCGCGUGUAUGAUGAAGGUCUUCGGGUCGUAAAGUUCUUUCAGCAGGGAAGAACGUUCACAGGUCUAUACACCUGUGAAUUGACGGUACCGGCAAAAGAAGCACCGGCUAACUCCGUGCCAGCAGCCGCGGUAAUACGGAGGGUGCGAGCGUUAAUCGGAAUUACUGGGCGUAAAGCGCACGUAGGCGGUGUUUUAAGUCAGUGGUGAAAUCCCCGGGCUAAACCUGGGAAUUGCAUCUGAUACUGGUAAACUAGAGUGUGUUAGAGGAUGGUAGAAUUCCAGGUGUAGCGGUGAAAUGCGUAGAUAUCUGGAGGAAUACCGGUGGCGAAGGCGGCCCCCUGGACAAAAACUGACGCUGAGGAGCGAAAGCGUGGGUAGCAAACAGGAUUAGAUACCCCAGUAGUC
rnacentral:rRNA from 1 species